AUUUAACUGUUUACCUGGUGAAUAACAUGUGAGUUGUUUCCAGGUUCUGACUAUUACAAAUAAAAUUUCUGUGAACAGUCAAGUGCAGGUUUGGUCUACACAUAAAUUUUCAUUUCUAUGAAAUAGGCCAUGACAGCAAUUGCUAAGCCUAACUAACUGUAUGUGUGUGUUUAGCUUUAAAAGAAAUUGCCAAAUUAUUUUCCAAUGUGGUAUACAGUUUUAUAUUCCCAUCAGCAAUAAAGAUUCAAUUUUUUCUGCAUGCUUCUCAGCCUUUGGAAUCAUUAUGUUUUAACUAUUUCAGCUACUGAAAUAAAUCUGCUGUAGGCCAGGUGUGGUGGCUCACACCUCUUAAUUCCAGCACUUUGGGAGGCUGAGCCACCGCACCUAGCGAUGCUUAAAUCUUCUAGUCCACAAAUAUGAGAUGUCUUUCCACAUAUGUAGAUAUUCCUCAACUCCUCUGACAAAUAUUUUGUGUUAUUCACAGUUCAUGCUGAAUUUCACUUUAUCCCACAGUAUUUUGCCUUAAUAAUAUUGUAAAUAAAAAUGUUUCAAUGAUGUCACUUUUGACUUCUUUAAUAAUAUAUAGAAAUACAACUGAUUUUUGGAUUGUAAUCUUAAAUCACAAAAACUUGCUGAGAUGAUCUUGUUAUUGGAAUCCAAAUUUAUUGGAUCCACUGGGGUUGUGUAUGUACAAAACCAUGUCAUCUGCAAAAGGUUUUGCUGCUUCCUAUUUAAAAAAUUUUAUUUCCUUCCAUAUGCAAUGCAAUUAAUGUCACAGAUACUUCCAGUACACUGUUGAACAGAACUGGCAAGAAUGUUUUAUCCUGUCCUUGCUCCUCUUCUUACAGAGAAAGCAUUCUUUAAAUACUAAGUGUAACAUUAGUUUUGAGGGUUUUGGGUUUUCU
ensembl:lncRNA FTX FTX transcript, XIST regulator